rnacentral:rRNA from 1 species
CAAUAGCGUAUAUUAAAGUUGUUGCAGUUAAAAAGCUCGUAGUUGGAUUUCUGGUAGGAGUGACCGUUCCGAACUUGAUUGUUCGUGUAUUGUGUUUUCUCCAGCCAUCCUUGUGGAGAACUUUUCUUGCAUUAAUUUGUAGGGAUUGGGACCCGCAUCGUUUACUGUGAAAAAAUUGGAGUGUUUAAAGCAGGCAAUCGCUUGAAUACAUUAGCAUGGAAUAAUAAGAUAGGACUUUGGUACUAUUUUGUUGGUUUGCAUACCAAAUUAAUGAUCAACAGGAACAGUUUGAGGAUAUUCGUAUGAACAUGUCAGAGGUGAAAUUCUUGGAUUUUGAUCAGACGAACUACUGCGAAAGCAUUUAUCAAGGAUGUUUUCAUUAA